AACACGGCUGUGGCGAGGCACACACCUUUCUAACCGCUUCAGAAAAACACUCGACCUCUUCCACUAUGAAGGGAAGAGCCGCCUUUCUGCUCCUCUCCUUGGCCCUUUUCUGGUGCUUUGAGGCUGCUCUUAGCCAAGAGAGUCCCGACGUGACCAAGGACAUUUCUUCUGGACUCGAGCGGUGCAGGAGCGAUGUUGAGGCUAGUAUUGAUCGAGCCCUGGAACGACUCACCAGGACGUCUUUACAGGCAAAAUGAACGCGGUCUUUGCAAACUGGAGAGUGCUGGACAAUAGAUGCCCUUCCCUUCCCUGCAUGCAGUAUAAAGCUACUUGUGCAGUCUGAACACGCGUGCCCUGCUGGUCUCCAGAAGCUUUGCCCGUGCUACGGCCCCCUGAUUUGCAUAUUUAAUAAAGCGUAUUCAGCAUC